rfam:Triticum aestivum genome assembly, contig: Triticum_aestivum_CS42_TGACv1_scaffold_321506_4BL
CAUAUACUCCCUCCGUUCGGAAUUACUUGUCUCGGAAAUGGAUGUAGAACUAAAAUACGUCUAGAUACAUCCAUUUCUGCGACAAGUAAUUCCGAGCGGAGGGAGUACAUU